CCUACGGGAGGCUGCAGUGGGGAAUAUUGGACAAUGGGGGGAACCCUGAUCCAGCCAUGCCGCGUGUGUGAAGAAGGCCCUCGGGUUGUAAAGCACUUUCAGUGAGGAAGAACGCCUGGUGGUUAAUACCCAUCAGGAAAGACAUCACUCACAGAAGAAGCACCGGCUAACUCCGUGCCAGCAGCCGCGGUAAUACGGAGGGUGCGAGCGUUAAUCGGAAUUACUGGGCGUAAAGCGCGCGUAGGUGGCUUGAUAAGCCGGUUGUGAAAGCCCCGGGCUCAACCUGGGAACGGCAUCCGGAACUGUCAAGCUAGAGUGCAGGAGAGGAAGGUAGAAUUCCCGGUGUAGCGGUGAAAUGCGUAGAGAUCGGGAGGAAUACCAGUGGCGAAGGCGGCCUUCUGGACUGACUCUGACACUGAGGUGCGAAAGCGUGGGUAGCAAACAGGAUUAGAUACCCUUGUAGUC
rnacentral:rRNA from 1 species